rnacentral:lncRNA from 1 species
CUUUUGGAAGGUGAUACUGUAUAUAAUUUCACAUAAGUAUUUAAGGAACUUUCAGGGUAAGAACUUGACCUGUAAUGCCUCUUUCUCCAGUCACUGUAAAGAGAGCUUCUAGAUGACUUGUCUAGCUUAGUUUAAUAUGGAGCUAAUUUUGUAACAUGUAUGAUAUAGGAACAGAAAUGAUCCAAGUUUAGUAUAAAGAAUAACUAUCUUGUAUUGGCCUAGAUUUGUAGAAUGAUAUUCAAGGCCUUCCUUACACAGGAAAUAUAAACAGCUACCUUACAGUUGCUUAAACUAAAUAUCUGACUUUUAGACAACUAUUGCUUUGUUAGAGGCCAUGAAUAGGGCAGCAAAGUCUACAUUAAAAAAUGGCAGAGAAAGGAAAUAUUAUCUUGGGAAUUAUAUUAUCUGCAAGGUCCCCUGGGAAGCUGCUCUUGAAGGCCUCGAUGUCCACCAGUGCUGGUCAUUCUUUAAGCGAUGCCUCCUAGAAGCACAAGAUCAGGAGAUUCCUAAAUAUCGCAAGUCAGGCAGGCGGGGCAGGAGGCCGGCGUGGCUGACCAGGAACAUUCUGAUGGAGAUUAGGCGGAAACAGAGAGUGUUUCAUGACUGGAAGGAGGGCCAGGUGUCAUGGAAAGAAUACAGGGAUGCUGUUCGUGUUUGUAGGAAGAAAAUUCGUGUGGCUAAAGCACACCUAGAGUUGAAGCUGGCUGUGUCUGUGAGAGAAAAUAAAAAGGGUUUUUUUAGAUAUGUGAAUGGAAAAAGGAGAACUAAAGAAUACAUAGGGCUGCUCCUUGAUAGGGAAGGUCUCCUCACAGAUAAUGACAUAGGCAAAGCAGAGACGCUUAACGCCUUCUUUGCCUCUGUCUUCAAUGCCGAUGAUGGGCUUCGGGACCCAGGGUGCCCUGAGCUGGAGGACCGGGGCGGUGGGGAUGACAAACUCCCAACCGACCCUGAACGUGUGCGGGAUUUGCUACUCCACCUGGAUCCCUACAAGUCCAUGGGUCCGGAUGGGAUUCAUCCCCGGGUGCUGAAAGAGCUGGCGGACGUCAUCGCGGAACCUCUCUCAAUUAUUUUUCAACGAUCCUGGGAGUCUGGAGAGGUCCCGGUAGACUGGAAGCUGGCAAAUGUUGUGCCGAUUUUCAAGAAGGGUCAGAAAGAAGACCCUAGCAAUUACAGGCCUGUCAGUCUCACGUCAGUGCCUGGUAAAAUCAUGGAGAAGAUGGUUCUUGAACUUAUUGAGGCGCACCUGGGGGACAAAGCAGUCAUUGGUCCCAGCCAGCAUGGGUUUGUGAAGGGUAGGUCCUGCCUAACUAACCUGAUUUCCUUUUAUGAUAAGAUCACCCGUAUGGUGGACCAAGGGAAACCAGCUGAUGUGAUUUUUUUGGACUUCAGCAAGGCUUUUGACACAGUUUCCCAUAGGAUUCUACUGGACAAAAUGUCCAGCAUACAGCUAAAUAAAAACAUCAUACGAUGGGUGAGCAAUUGGCUAACGGGCAGGGCCCAAAGGGUUAUGGUGAAUGGGGCUGCGUCAGGCUGGCGGG